AGCAGCUCUCCUCUUCAGCGCGCGCCACCUCCUGUGGCCGCCUCGGCGCCAGGCCCUGGGUCUCGCCUGAGGGCGCCGGGGUCCCGCGGCGCAACCGGCCCCGCCUCGCUCGCAGUCCGCCGCCGCCUAGGGCGAGAGGUUGCCAGCCUAAGCCUGCAGCGCGCAGAGGCCAAACCCUUCCCCGGGUCCCGCGCGCUGUGCUACCCAGGGAUCCCCACUGUUGCGGACACGGGGCUUUUCUAGUUUACGGCGUGACCCGCUUCGAGGAAUUGCGGUACCGAGACCCCUUAGGGACAGGGUGUCUAUUCCCUACUUAAAGGGACGAAGACUCCGGUUCAGCCUACUGUGCCAGACCUUCGGAGGAAUCCUUAUGCAAAUGAGCGUUUUAGCGAUCCGAAUGACGGAUGCGGCCAGGAUAGGCGGCAGGGGUCCGGCCCCCCACCAGUUGGAGAGCCAAGCUAAGGGGAGGUCGGAAUGUUUGCUUACCUUUUUACCUCUGAGGAAGUCGUGGCUUUAACCCUGUUCACGGCCAACCUGGCAGAGCGAACUGUGGGAACGUUUAAAGCCUAAGAUUGUAGGAGCUGGCAAGGCUCCAUUUAAUCCAGGGCCCUCAUUUUACAGACGGAGAAACUGAGGCUCAGAGGAAGGUCACCCAGGUGGGCCUGGAUGCCAGUUUCCGGUAUGAUGGUGCCGAAAUUGUGUCAUUUCUACUAGUCUCUACUUUGAAAUUUAAGGUCGUCCUCUGAUUAUUAAAAUGCGGAAACUGAGGCCGAGUGAGGAGCACAGCUUGCUCGGUAAAGCUUUUCCUGAGAGGCGGCAUGUGCUUUGCCGAGGAAGAGGAGCUGCCUAGAAAUGAGAGCUCCUCUCCUGUACAAGGCGCAGUUCCCCAUACUGUAGGGAACAAUUGAAAAAGAAGGCAUAAAGGCAGCAAACAUCAAAACCUCCAAGAUUACACUUACCUGGGUUCUAAUGCGAAUGACUUUGUGUGCUAGUGUGUAAAACUAUAAAUCUGAGGACUUUAAUCUGAUUCUCAUCUCCAAAAUAAACUUCGGAGUUCCUAAAAGGCUCUAGCCACAGGAAUCCACUUCUCCAAUGGACCAAUUUUGCUAUAAGGUAGCACGUUCACCCUGGCCACGGUGUGGGUCAAGGGUGCUUAAACUCUGAGUGUGCCUCAGAAUCACCUCAGAAAACAGCAUGAGAAUGUACACUGCCAGCACUGCAGGGAAGCCAACUCAGAGCCUAGUGGGGCAGGAAUCUGCAUUUUUACAUGAACCACAGCUGAUUCUGCUCAGACGAGCCAACUAUCCCACUUUGAGACGCUCUGGCUAGUCUCUGAGCUCUGAUCCACGGUGUGAACCAAGAAAUCAUGGGUGGAGGCAUUUCUUACUUUUGUUCCCAAGACCCAACGUUCAAAGGGUUGCCUUUGAACACAAUGCCUCUCAGGCAGUGUGUCCCUGCAGGGCAUCAGGUCACCUCACCUGUGCAUUCUAAGGGACAUAUGGUUCUUCUUAUUUAUCCUGAGCAAAUCUCCCUCAGAGGCCAGUGUAACGGAUUCUGAGAAGUGGGGAUUAGGCGGGAGGAAGGGAGGAGAACAAAUGUGGACACAGAACACAAGAGGAUGCCGUGCUGGCCACUGUGCUCCAGGCUUUGUCGUCCCACAGAAGCGCAUAUGGUGGGGCACUAACACCCAUCUUCCAGCUGAGGACAUGAGGGCUCAGAGGUCACACCGCUAAUAAGAGCCGGACUCAGAUCAGAGUGCCUUGUUCUUGAUCUCCAUCUUGAACUCCUCUCAGGGCGUGCUAAAGGUCAGCGACUGCAGUGGCUAGAGACUUCAUUCUUGGAGAACCAGAUGGGUCCUAAUGAAUAGCAGGAAGGACAUUAGUGUCCAAGGGUGAUGUGUGCUGUGCAAAGAAGAAGAACAAAGUGAAGAAAGUGGUAGGAGCACCCAGAGGAGAAGCAAAGAAGGGAAUGAAUUCUCUUCCAUCAUAGAGCUAAUGACUCUCAAAGGAAAAAAAAAAGAGAUGUGAUCUCAGAAAAAUAAAGAAGCUAACAUAAAAACGGCAGACCCAGG